CAUCUUCAGACCAGUUUGCAAUGUGCUGUCCCUCAGCCUGUGCUCUCCCCUUGCUUUGUGGCAUGUCACAGCUGCUAUGCUUAACUCUGCUCAUUUUUCAUCUGGUGAAUGCUUCCAGUGCAAGCCACUGACUGGACUCACAGGACCUGUGAGCAAGACAGUCCCUUGCUGAACAUUUUAAACAGUAUGAGUUCCAAUACCAACAAUUCAGGUAAA